GUAUCUAAGACCAAUGUUUGAUUUUUUAACUGACUUGAUAAAUCAUCACAUCAAGAAUAAACAACUUUUUGAACAGGUAGAUGUUUGCCCCUAAGGUGAUCCACCUACUUUGUGGGAUGCCUGGGAGUCAUGAUCUGCCUA
rnacentral:snRNA from 1 species